rnacentral:rRNA from 1 species
AAUGGCAGGUCAGCAUACUGCCGUGAAUACGUUCCCGGGCCCUUGUACACACCGCCCGUCCACACCAUGAGAGUUGGGAAUACCCGAAGCCUGUGAGCUAACUUAUAGAGGCAGCAGUCGAAGGUAGAAUCAAUGAUUGGGGUGAAGUCGUAACAAGGUAGC